rnacentral:rRNA from 1 species
ACGGGGACCCGCACAAGCGGUGGAUGAUGUGGAUUAAUUCGAUGCAACGCGAAGAACCUUACUACCCUUGACAUGUCCGGAACUUGCCAGAGAUGGCUUGGUGCCCGAAAGGGGAAUCGGAACACAGGUGCUGCAUGGCUGUCGUCAGCUCGUGUCGUGAGAUGUUGGGUUAAGUCCCGCAACGAGCGCAACCCUUAUCAUUAGUUGCUACGCAAGGGCACUCUAAUGAGACUGCCGGUGACAAACCGGAGGAAGGUGGGGAUGACGUCAAGUCCUCAUGGCCCUUAUGGGUAGGGCUUCACACGUCAUACAAUGGUCGGUACAGAGGGUUGCCAAGCCGCGAGGCGGAGCCAAUCCCACAAAGCCGAUCGUAGUCCGGAUUGUUCUCUGCAACUCGAGAGCAUGAAGUCGGAAUCGCUAGUAAUCGCAGGUCAGCAUACUGCGGUGAAUACGUUCCCGGGUCUU